AACGCACCUUGCGCUCCUUGGUAUUCCGAGGAGCAUGCCUGUUUGAGUGUCAUUAAAUUCUCAACUAUUAUCAGCUUUUGCUGAUGAUGGCUUGGAUAUGGGGGUUUAUUUUGCUGGCUUCACAGAAUGUCAGCUCCCCUUAAAUGCAUUAGCCGGUGCCCCGCGUGGACUGUCUAUUGGUGUGAUAAUUAUCUACGCCGUGGACAUCUACAAUCAUAUGGGUUUGCGCUGCUCCCAACCGUCUGUUUACUCAGACAAUACAUGACAAUUUGACCUCAAAUCAGGUAGGACUACCCGCUGAACUUAA
rnacentral:misc_RNA from 1 species